rnacentral:rRNA from 1 species
UACGUAGGGUGCAAGCGUUGUCCGGAAUUAUUGGGCGUAAAGAGCUCGUAGGCGGUCUGUCGCGUCUGCUGUGAAAACUCAGGGCUUAACCCUGAGCUUGCAGUGGGUACGGGCAGACUAGAGUGCGGUAGGGGAGACUGGAAUUCCUGGUGUAGCGGUGAAAUGCGCAGAUAUCAGGAGGAACACCGGUGGCGAAGGCGGGCCU